UGGGGAAUAUUGGACAAUGGGCGCAAGCCUGAUCCAGCCAUGCCGCGUGAGUGAUGAAGGCCCUAGGGUUGUAAAAGCUCUUUCGCCAGGGACGAUAAUGACGGUACCUGGAUAAGAAGCCCCGGCUAACUUCGUGCCAGCAGCCGUGGUAAUACGAAGGGGGCUAGCGUUGUUCGGAAUCACUGGGCGUAAAGCGCACGUAGGCGGAUCUUUAAGUCAGGGGUGAAAUCCCGAGGCUCAACCUCGGAACUGCCUUUGAUACUGGAGGUCUCGAGUCCGGGAGAGGUGAGUGGAACUGCGAGUGUAGAGGUGAAAUUCGUAGAUAUUCGCAAGAACACCAGUGGCGAAGGCGGCUCACUGGCCCGGUACUGACGCUGAGGUGCGAAAGCGUGGGGAGCAAAACAGGAUUAGAUACCCUGGUAGUCCACGCCGUAAACUAUGGAUGCUAGCCGUUGGGCAGCUUGCUGUUCAGUGGCGCAGCUAACGCUUUAAGCAUCCCGCCUGGGGGAGUACGGUCGCAAGAUUAAAAACUCAAAGGAAUUGACGGGGUCAUAGCUGUUUCCU
rnacentral:rRNA from 1 species